GAACGCUGGCGGCGUGCUUAACACAUGCAAGUCGAACGAAGAGCGACGGAAGCUUGCUUCUAUCAAUCUUAGUGGCGAACGGGUGAGUAACGCGUAAUCAACCUGCCCUUCAGAGGGGGACAACAGUUGGAAACGACUGCUAAUACCGCAUACGAUCUAAUCUCGGCAUCGAGGAUAGAUGAAAGGUGGCCUCUACAUGUAAGCUAUCACUGAAGGAGGGGAUUGCGUCUGAUUAGCUAGUUGGAGGGGUAACGGCCCACCAAGGCGAUGAUCAGUAGCCGGUCUGAGAGGAUGAACGGCCACAUUGGGACUGAGACACGGCCCAGACUCCUACGGGAGGCAGCAGUGGGGAAUCUUCCGCAAUGGACGAAAGUCUGACGGAGCAACGCCGCGUGAGUGAUGACGGCCUUCGGGUUGUAAAGCUCUGUUAAUCGGGACGAAAGGCCUUCUUGCGAAUAGUGAGAAGGAUUGACGGUACCGGAAUAGAAAGCCACGGCUAACUACGUGCCAGCAGCCGCGGUAAUACGUAGGUGGCAAGCGUUGUCCGGAAUUAUUGGGCGUAAAGCGCGCGCAGGCGGAUAGGUCAGUCUGUCUUAAAAGUUCGGGGCUUAACCCCGUGAUGGGAUGGAAACUGCCAAUCUAGAGUAUCGGAGAGGAAAGUGGAAUUCCUAGUGUAGCGGUGAAAUGCGUAGAUAUUAGGAGGAACACCAGUGGCGAAGGCGACUUUCUGGACGAAAACUGACGCUGAGGCGCGAAAGCCAGGGGAGCGAACGGGAUUAGAUACCCCGGUAGUCCUGGCUGUAAACGAUGGGUACUAGGUGUAGGAGGUAUCGACCCCUUCUGUGCCGGAGUUAACGCAAUAA
rnacentral:rRNA from 1 species